UUGUUAUCGCAGGAAGCAUCUUCAAAAACCAGUGCUACAAGGAUGUGAGCAGCAGUUUCCCUUCAACGAACGGGUCAAAUUCAUGGAAGCCACGUGCCUGCUGCUUCUGGCUUACACAAACAUGCAGCCACCAUAGUAAAGUUCUUGCAAAGACAUUCUACACGAACUUGCCCAAAGGCGGAAGGAAGGCACGCACAGAUGGACGCACGGAAAUCAUGGGGCUGCCGUAGAAGAUGUGAAUGAGCAUUAACCUACGUACAGAAAGGAGCGAAGUGGAGCUGUCCAUGGGCCGUGCACACAGUUUCAUAAGCAGGCUUGCAACACUUUUGACAAAUAUGUUCCUGAAUACAUCUGCCAAAGUGGCAUUUAAAGAAGCAUGUAGUAGUGUACUUCACUGUUUAUUUGGCAUGAAGCAGCAGGUAUGCUUCCGUCAUCAGCAAGUUCACACAGUACAGUGCAUCUACACAUGGCAUGCUACCCCCACAUCUACCAGCUCGGGAUGUGUAGCUUGAUUGUAAAAUGUUUACUUUGACUUAACACAACAAUUAUUAACAAAAUGACAUGAAAGUUUUGCCACCUAUGCAGGCGACAUUCUCAGUAUACGCUGCCAAAUAUAAGCGGAGUUUGACCAGUCCAUUAGUCGCACAUUUCCUUGUAAACAUCUCGUAGAGGGCUGCUGUUGUUGUUGCAAGCCAAUGCGCCGUGAUGAAUGAACCAUGAUUCCAAGAUUUUUCUUUUCCUCCGACCUUUGUACACGAGGUAGCAUCGUCGAAUUGAUUAGGUCAAAGUUAUGCCUUGUCAUUCAGCAGCGUUCAACAAGCUCCGUCUUAGAACAUGUUGCAUGGGUGGUUUUCGCAACAUCCUCUUUGUGUUCUUUAACCUUCGAUUACCUUCUUCAACCCAUUUCGCCUAUGCAAGUUGUGUCGCAAUCCCCACAUUGUACUUCGUAGAUGAUCCCGCUCUAAUCUUCGGCGGUGUUUGUGUAUACCUUGUCCUUAGGACAUGUGUU